UGCUUGCACUUGGGGAUUAGUGGCGAACGGGUGAGUAACACGUGAGUAACCUGCCCUGGACUCUGGGAUAACCCCGAGAAAUCGGAGCUAAUACCGGAUAGGACCCUUCACCGCAUGGUGCGGGGUGGAAAGUUUUUCGGUCUGGGAUGGACUCGCGGCCUAUCAGCUUGUUGGUGAGGUAAUGGCUCACCAAGGCGUCGACGGGUAGCCGGCCUGAGAGGGUGACCGGCCACACUGGGACUGAGACACGGCCCAGACUCCUACGGGAGGCAGCAGUGGGGAAUAUUGCACAAUGGGCGAAAGCCUGAUGCAGCAACGCCGCGUGCGGGAUGACGGCCUUCGGGUUGUAAACCGCUUUUAGUAAGGAAGAAGCCGCAAGGUGACGGUACUUGCAGAAAAAGGACCGGCUAACUACGUGCCAGCAGCCGCGGUAAUACGUAGGGUCCGAGCGUUGUCCGGAAUUAUUGGGCGUAAAGAGCUCGUAGGCGGUUUGUCGCGUCUGCUGUGAAAACUAGAGGCUCAACCUCUAGCCUGCAGUGGGUACGGGCAGACUUGAGUGGUGUAGGGGAGACUGGAAUUCCU
rnacentral:rRNA from 1 species